CGCCUACGGGGGGCAGCAGUGGGGAAUAUUGGACAAUGGGCGCAAGCCUGAUCCAGCCAUGCCGCGUGAGUGAUGAAGGCCCUAGGGUUGUAAAGCUCUUUCACCGAUGAAGAUAAUGACGGUAGUCGGAGAAGAAGCCCCGGCUAACUUCGUGCCAGCAGCCGCGGUAAUACGAAGGGGGCUAGCGUUGUUCGGAAUUACUGGGCGUAAAGCGCACGUAGGCGGAUAUUUAAGUCAGGGGUGAAAUCCCAGAGCUCAACUCUGGAACUGCCUUUGAUACUUGGUAUCUCGAGUAUGGAAGAGGUGAGUGGAAUUCCGAGUGUAGAGGUGAAAUUCGUAGAUAUUCGCAAGAACACCAGUGGCGAAGGCGGCUCACUGGCCCGAUACUGACGCUGAGGCACGAAAGCGUGGGGAGCAAACAGGAUUAGAUACCCCUGUAGUCAC
rnacentral:rRNA from 1 species